CCUACGGGAGGCAGCAGUGGGGAAUAUUGCACAAUGGGGGCAACCCUGAUGCAGCGACGCCGCGUGAGUGAGGAAGUCCCUCGGUAUUUAAAGCUCUAUCAGCAGGGAAGAAAAUGACGGUACCUGACUAAGUAGCCCCGGCUAACUACGUGCCAGCAGCCGCGGGAAUACGUAGGGGGCAAGCGUUAUCCGGAUUUACUGGGUGUAAAGGGAGCGUAGACGGCUAAUCAAGUCAGAAGUGAAAGCCCGGGGCUCAACCGUGGGAGUGCUUUUGAAACUGAGUAGCUAGAGUGCAGGAGAGGUAGGCGGAAUUCCUGGUGUAGCGGUGAAAUGCGUAGAUAUUAGGAGGAACACCAGUGGCGAAGGCAGCCUACUGGACUGUAACUGACGUUGAGGCUCGAAAGCGUGGGGAGCAAACAGGAUUAGAUACCCCAGUAGUC
rnacentral:rRNA from 1 species